rnacentral:rRNA from 1 species
UACGAAGGGGGCUAGCGUUGUUCGGAAUUACUGGGCGUAAAGCGCGCGCAGGCGGUCCUUCAAGUCAGAGGUGAAAGCCCAGGGCUCAACCCUGGAACUGCCUUUGAAACUGGAGGACUUGAGUACGGGAGAGGUGAGUGGAAUUCCGAGUGUAGAGGUGAAAUUCGUAGAUAUUCGCAAGAACACCAGUGGCGAAGGCGGCUCACUGGCCCGGUACUGACGCUGAGGUGCGAAAGCGUGGGGAGCAAACAGG